ACAAAUUGGUAUCAGAGCCCCAGGUUCGUCGGUCUCACUUGUACAGAGCUAACGUCUAGUAGAGUCCUGCGGAUCGGUGCGGAGACGUCCGUAACUUAUCUUCGGGAGGCUACAGGAUGUCCUUAGGAAAAUUUCCUCUUUUGUUUCGCUUUCGUGCAGCGUGUGUCUUAUUGGUUUCUGGAAAUCUCACUUGUUUCACUCUUUCGAGGGAUGGCUCGC
rnacentral:lncRNA from 1 species